rnacentral:rRNA from 2 species
CAGACCUCUAAUCGGAAAAGACUACCCGCUGAGUUUAAGCAUAUCACUAAGCGGA